UGAAAACGACUCAUAAAAUCCAGUCAUGUAUUCAUAAUGGCAUCAUCAACCAUUAUAUACAUAUAUAUAAUUUGACAAGUGAAUCUCAGCAUUUCACAACAAAUAGUCAUCUACACGUAAUUAGAACUUGACUGUCAACGGAGUGACUCUGGGCACGGUUGCUAACGUUUAGUGUCAUGUUAAACCUACUGAGCAAUAGAUAGGGAGGAACACCUCGUCUUAGGAUCCAAUCACCUUUAACUUAAGAAACCUAAAACAUAAAUUUUAAAAACGUGAGUAUAAACUCAGUGAGUGAACAUGGGAAGGGAACAAGCAAUUAUAAGGAAUGAUUUAGAAAUCAUGAUGCACUUAAAUUCGAAAACAGUGCAACCUAGUUCAAGUUCUUAUUAAAAUCCUUCCAUCAACUCCGGGUUAUUAAAUCAUUUGAUAAUGAAGGAACCAUAUUUAGCAGGAAAUCGGAAAGAGAGAAAAUUUUCAGCAAUCAUCCAAGUAAGGUAGUAUAAACAGAAUGUUCUUGUUGCAAUAAAAUCAAUUCACAUGUAAAUGGAAAAUUUUCAAGAUUUAUCAUGCCAUAUUAUCACAUAUUAUAAUCAUAAUCUUUCUAUUGCAUAUACAUAUGCUUAAGCAUAUAUCAAUUAAUAUACCACCACACCUCAUCUAGCUCAUGUAUAUCAUCAUCGGCAUGUGCACUGUCCACUCCGCACAUGCAUGGUUGCAUUUGUCACACAAUGGUAUCAUUUAUGACAUAGUAUAUAUAUAUAUCCACAUUAUACAGAAACAUAUGAAUUCAUCACACUAUCCAUUUCCUAACAUAAAAACAUUUCAUAAAAGUUUGUUCUCGUGCAAGUUGUUGAAGAAAAACCAAUAAAACGUUUUAGAGGAUUCAAUCAAAUAUAAACGUGUAUAUCCCAAAACAUUUUAAUGCAAGUUCACUCACCUGACAACAACGAGAUAUUAAGUCGCUAUUUGUUCGAAGGUGUCUCUAACUAUUUUCACUGGCUGGUCGCUCGUUAUUUACUCCGACACGCCACCACAAUACUCUAACCUUAUCUUUGCACUUCUUAACAAUAAUACGAACUCAAUAUAUUUAAUUAUAUAUGUAUACGAGCAACACUUCAAUCAAUUAAUCCUUACUCAAAUUUAUAUUUUUCAUCCUAUCAUGAAACCAUCUUCAAUUAACUCACAUCUUAAUACAUUUUUACUAAAAUUACUUAUAUCCAUUGCUUAUGUAAUUCCUUAAAUUAUAUCACUGGCAACUUAAUUAUGAUGUCACGUGUCUACUUCAACCUUUCUAAAUAAGUUCCACCUAAAUCCAUCUUAUACUUCCACACAUAAUCCACAUAUAUGGCAGCAACAACCAUUCUCACUUUCACUCAAUUAUUUCCUAGUUUACAUGUAUUGUUAUCUAUCUAACUUUCAAUACUUUGUUUCUUAAUCCUCGAUCCACAAUAUUCCUUUUUCAUUUCUUUCAAACAACAUGCCAUAUAAUCUUAAUAAUUUUCAACUAACUUAGGCAAAUAAAACCUUUCAACAACCAUAAUUCCUCGCAAUAUUCAACUAACCAUAGGCUUUAAUAUAUAGUGUUAAGCUUACCGUUUUCCUUUUCCACUUUGAGUCCUUCAUGUACCCAUGGGUUUAUUGGCUUACAUGUUACAAUUUUUCUCCAAUCAAGCCAAUCUUUGCUAUCAUAAGACAUUUCUCUAAGUCACUAACUCAUUUUCAAAGACUACUCAAGCCAAAAACUAGAAUUCUUACUGUUCCUUACUUGAAUCACCAAAACCAAGCUUUUUCUUCCUUUCUCUCUUUUUCUUUCUUCUCCUCUUAGGGUUUUGGUAUGCUGGAAAUUGGGGUUAAAGGUUGAAAAUUUAAUGCUCAAGAAGUUUGGAGAAGAAAGGAAAAGAAAACAUGGAAAGGAAAGUGAAGAAAACUUGAUUUCAUGAUGGAUAAAGAGAAAAUGGCAUGAAAGCUUCAAGAAUGGCGUGGAGCAUGGAUGAAGA
rnacentral:lncRNA from 1 species